CACGUAGGGCGCAAGCGUUGUCCGGAAUUAUUGGGCGUAAAGAGCUCGUAGGCGGUCUGUUGCGUCCGCUGUGAAAACCCGGGGCUUAACCCUGGGCUGGCAGUGGAUACGGACAGACUAGAGGUAGGUAGGGGAGAAUGGAAUUCCCGGUGUAGCGGUGAAAUGCGCAGAUAUCGGGAGGAACACCGGUGGCGAAGGCGGUUCUCUGGGCCUUACCUGACGCUGAGGAGCGAAAGCCAGGGGAGCAAACGGGG
rnacentral:rRNA from 1 species